ACACCCACACACUAAAACCAAAGGCCCCCCCUACGUUUCACCAACACUAAACAUUUUCCAACAUGGCUUCUUCCACCGUCGCCACGGCGGCGUCCGACGACACCGACCACCCACCGUCGCGUCCCGAUCCCGUCCCCGUCAUCGAUCUCAGUCUCCUCUCCCAAUCAGAACUCUACACUCUCUCUCUAUCUUCCGACUCAUACGAUCUCAACCGCCAAAACGAUGUCGUUAUCCCCAAAAUCAACCGCUCCGUUUUCAACGAGUCCGCCGGAAGCCGCAAACAAACCUACUCUCGCCUCCGUCUCGCCACCGCCGACGCCACCAAGACCACUACUCUCCACCGCCGCACACCGCACCUCCGCGCGUCGCACACACUCGCUCCGAACGCCAUUAACGACCCCGAGCAAGCGGAAAACUCGCUAAUUAUUCGUAUGUUGAAGCAGUUGUGUAAAUCAGAUCCGGAUUUUCAGGAUAUUGAUGUAAUUGAUGAGGAUAAUGUUCGAGAUAAUAGUUCUAUUGCGGAGGUUAUGAAUUUAGAAACCCUAGGUGUGAAGCGGAAGAGAGGGAGGCCGAGAAAGCAUGAGAAUGUGGUGUUUAUUCGGCCGCCGAGCAGUAAGAGGCUUCGGUGUGGUGCGAUUAAGAAGGAGGUUGUGUAUGAUGAUGACAAGGACAGGGGGAUUUUGAAUGAGAGAGGUGUGGUGGUGGAUUUGGAUGUGGUUGGUGGAUUGGAGGAUCCGUAUGGGCCGGAGAUUAGGAGGAGGACGGUCGGGAUGACCACGGAGGAUGAGUUGUUAGGGUUUUUGAGAGGUUUGAAUGGGCAUUGGGGGAGUAGGAGGAGGAAGAGGAGGGUUGUGGAUGCUUGUGAGUUUGGGGAUGUUUUACCCAAAGGAUGGAAGUUGAGUCUUUGUAUUAAGAAGAAGGAAGGACGGGUUUGGUUGUUUUGUCGUCGGUAUUUGAGUCCUAGUGGUCGGCAGUUCGAGUCGUGCAAGGAAAUAUCUACAUACUUAAUCUCUGUUAUUGGAGAACAAAAAUUGGAUAAACAAAAUGCUGUGAAGAUAAACGGUUCUGAUGACUUGGCUUUAAAAGAAUCUUCUGUGAAUGCUGCGGAUGUAGUUCUACAAGAAGACAUCAAAAGAGACGUCCCUGUUGCCAAUCCAUCACCGUCACCAUCACCACCAGGACUGCCACCUCUACCUUCAAAGCCUGAGGAGCAAGUCAGUUUGGACGCAAUGGAGGUACAAGCAGAAAACAAUGUGAAAACUGACCAAAUUGGGCCCCACGUGGAAAAUGAAACAGAGAAAAUCGAGCCAUCACCUGCAGAACUGGAUAACUCUGAUUUAGUUUUGGACGGAGACAAAGUAAUUACAUGUAAAGAAUCAAAUACUGAUGAGCUUGUUGUUCAUGACCUUAACGUUGUGUCUCAUAGUAAACAAGAUGAACACUGUGAUAUAGACAAAAGUAGUACUAUUGAGAUAUCCGGUGACGGAUUGGGCAAAAAUGGUAUUACGGAUGAUGAAGCUUCUAGAAUGGAAGUUACAGAACAACCUCCUGAUGAUACCGUCUCUCAGUCUGAACUUUUCGGUGAUGAAUCCAUGAGUGACAAAAGCGACAGAGAGCCUGAAACAUUUGGUGAAAUUCGUGUUAAUUCUGUUGAGGAUAAGCUGGACUCCAAUCUUGAUCAGGUGAUCGAUCAAGAUAAUGUUGUUAUGGCCGCUAGUGUUGGCGAUGGUGGUGAAGAUAUUGAUGUCACAACCACUAGUGUCGGAAUGGUAGAUCCGGCAGUUCCUGAUAUCAUUGUUGAAAAGGCAAGCAUUUGUGAGGAAAAAGGUUCUGAUCCAAACAUGGAUAUGGAUAUCAAUAAUACGUCUAAUGAGUUGAUAUCUGAAAACGAGAAAGUUGUUGCUGACACAUCAUCGGGGAUUUUUCUCUGUCGCUUUGGGCUGGAUAAAGAUGGUGCGACUGUGGUCAAUGACAAUGAUUCAACCAAUAAUGUAGAUAAACUCUCAUCUGGCUUAACUAGUUCCAGACUUGAUGAACUAUUCGAUGUUGGGACGGAUGCAUUCGGCAGCUACGAAGAAAACGAGUUAAACAAAAAUCUCGAAAACGAUGUUUCAUUUUCUAAUAUGGAGGAUACCGCGAUGCAAAUAAGUUCGAACAAAUCAGAAGAAGUCAAACUAGACGACUUCAAUAUCUUCAGGAACAACGAACCAAAACGUAACGAGUCAGAGGACGUUAUGGAUUUCAGUACAAAAAGCAAUCUUGAAUUUUGUUCACUUGUACCAUCUGAAAACGAUCAAGCAUUCGGGUUCCAAGAUUGUCUGUACGGCAACACAAUGGAAGAAUGCAAGGAAGAAAGCUCUGAACGGGGACUGCUCAAUCAUUUUUCCGAUGAUAUUUUCGAGAAUAAGAUGUAUUCUACGCCGUUAGAUGGACUCAAAUUUGAUGAAGACAGAGAUCUUAACAGCAAUGAGCUAAGUCUUGCUUUUGGGAACUCUAAUGUUGACGUUCAUACUAAUUUGAGUAUGGUUAAUAGUAGUAUGGUUGAGGAGCUAAAGUCCGGAAGUAGUUCAGUGGGUGGAUUAUUUAAUCUUUCCGGGAAUGUUAAAACUAGUAGUUUUCAGAAUGCAUGGGAUGGGAUUAAAUCAGAUGAAUUUAAAUUUAAAGGUUCCGGAAGUAAGUUUACGACCGGUUUUGGAAGCAAUCUUGGGCAAACUCGUGAAGAAGUUGUGCCGAGUGGGAUGUGGAGAACCGGUGAUCGAAAUCAAUUGCAAAGUGGUAUGCCCAUGUCUUCACAUGCACACAUACCGUCUCCCAGCUCGUUUCACUCCUUCAAUAUAAUGCCGGGAAAGGCUGGAGAUGGGCAGUUUAGACUUGAUGAAAGGUAUAACGAAGGUUACGGUGUGAGUGGGCUGAGAUCUGGUAGGCCCGAGCCUGUGGAAUUCAGUUUCCUAACAGCAGGUGGUAGAUCGUCUCAACAUAAUCCACAUCAGCUUCAAGGGGAUUCGAGGGUGUUUUCAUACAAUCCAGGAAUGGACCAACAGUUUGAUUCCAACUUUUGGCUUGGAAAGAACACUAUGAUGCCAAAUCCAGCUGGCAGAAAUCAGAUGACAGCUGUAUGUGCUUUGUGUAGAACUGAAUUUCAACUACACCCUGCUCAUUUUGGAACGCAAGAUGGAAUUGCGCCUUUGUGCCGGUCUUGCAGUGCAGGGAUGUCUGGGCAUGCCAACAUGUUGUAGAAUGAGUUGGCACUACAUAUUUAUGCUUUUGUUGGCCGUUAUUUUCCCAAGAAUAUAAUAAGGUUAACAAAAGUUCCAGAUAUGUGGUAGGUAAUUAUGCUUCAAAGAAAGGCAGCUUUUCAUGGAUCGAUGUCACUUCUGGUAUGCUUCUUAUAAGCAGUUUCUGACUUAGUUUUUUUUUUUUCUUUCUUUUAAACAGUUUUAGAAUUUUCUAUAUAUAUUUAACGGUUUCUUCUUCAACUUGCAUUUCUUUUUCCCAAGCCAAAA